rnacentral:rRNA from 1 species
GCUAUUUAGGUAGCGCCUCGUGUGAAUACCGUGCGGGGUAGAGCACUGGAUGGGCUAGGGCCGCCCACAGCGGUACCAAACCCAACCAAACUCCGAAUACGCACGAGUACUGCUCGGGAGACACACGGCGGGUGCUAACGUCCGUCGUGGAGAGGGAAACAACCCUGACCGACAGCUAAGGCCCCCAAUUCGUGGCUAAGUGGGAAAGGAUGUGGGACUCCCAAAACAACC